rnacentral:rRNA from 1 species
CCUACGGGGCGCAGCAGUGAGGAAUAUUGGUCAAUGGGCGAGAGCCUGAACCAGCCAAGUCGCGUGAAGGAUGACGGCCCUACGGGUUGUAAACUUCUUUUGUCAGGGAGCAAUUGGGUCCACGCGUGGGCUUAGCGAGAGUACCUGAAGAAAAAGCAUCGGCUAACUCCGUGCCAGCAGCCGCGGUAAUACGGAGGAUGCGAGCGUUAUCCGGAUUUAUUGGGUUUAAAGGGUGCGUAGGCGGAAGGUUAAGUCAGCGGUCAAAUGUCGGUGCUCAACACCGGCCUGCCGUUGAAACUGGUCUU